rnacentral:rRNA from 1 species
CCUACGGGAGGCUGCAGUCGAGAAUCAUUCACAAUGGGGGAAACCCUGAUGGUGCGACGCCGCGUGGGGGAAUGAAGGUCUUCGGAUUGUAAACCCCUGUCAUGUGGGAGCAAAUUAAAAAGAUAGUACCACAAGAGGAAGAGACGGCUAACUCUGUGCCAGCAGCCGCGGUAAUACAGAGGUCUCAAGCGUUGUUCGGAAUCACUGGGCGUAAGGCGUGCGUAGGCUGUUUCGUAAGUCGUGUGUGAAAGGCGCGGGCUCAACCCGCGGACGGCACAUGAUACUGCGAGACUAGAGUAAUGGAGGGGGAACCGGAAUUCUCGGUGUAGCAGUGAAAUGCGUAGAUAUCGAGAGGAACACUCGUGGCGAAGGUGGGUUCCUGGACAUUAACUGACGCUGAGGCACGAAGGCCAGGGGAGCGAAAGGGAUUAGAUACCCUGGUAGUC